UGCCAUGUCACAUCCUUGAAAAAAAAGCAAGGGGGAAAACUCCAUUUGCAUUAAAACAGAGGGUUAAAUGAAGCACAGUGGCGCUAGCGGCAGGCGCUGAAACACAAACAUACAAUCUCUCACACGCACACACGCAGAGCCUCGCAGCUUUCUCCUCACAAAUGGACGAGGUGCCCACAUUUACAUUGUAAAGCUGGAGGACUCGGAGCGGGGGAAGGGGUCAGAGGGAGGGCUUGGUGAGCCUUGGCCCUGCUCUCUAUUUUUGUUUCCAGCUUUUUUGUGCGCCACACACUGCAGUGGAUUUUUCAACUUGGCCCUCAUCAGUUGUACGCCUGAUGAAACAAACACUGACAGCUUCUUUACAUUUGUAAAGGCCCCUACAGCAGCUGUGCCUAUCUCACCACACGUCUAUGAAUCAGGGCCCGACCCCAGCUGGGCCUGCAGAGAGAGAGAGAGGGAUAGGGAGAACGAGAGAGGAAGAAUAGCCAUGGGUAACCCCCCGUUCCCCCCACACCAUGUGCCAUGUUCACUUCAACAGAACAGGAACACAAACGCGAGCUCUGGCUGCAUUCAUUAGCCAAACUCUGAAAUCCAAACCAGCGUAACUCUUCGCUCUAAAAACAGCCCUCAAAAAUAAUUAUACAGAGAAGUUGUUUCAGAGAGUGUCAGGACGGCCUGAAAGCCAUUAAAGGAGCUCGUCUGAAAGCAGAAGUGCCUACUUGCCCCCCCUUCUGCUUUUCACACACGUCUAUCAAUCAGGGACGGUCUAAUUGCAUUUCCUUGUUUGCUCUUAUUAACAUCUAUUAUCAUAUUUUUUUUUCUCUCUCUCUCGUUUUCCACUAAAUGAAUUUUAAUAAUAUUCACAGAACAUGUGAAGGAAAAAUGGGGUAAUAAAAAAAAAAUUGAAGGGAAAAAAAACAAAAAAAACAAACCUUGCACUCAUGUUCCAGGGGAUAUGGUUAAGCCAAGCAUGUAUAAUUGUCUUACGCUAAUUAAGGGGAGGCUGAAUCCAAGGGGCCAAGAGUUGUGCAGGCCCGGGGGACAGAUCCUUCAGGUUGUUUUUGUUGUUUGCCUGACCAGAUUUUAGCACAGCUGCCUGCACUGCACAGAUGUGACAUGAUCAGCCAUGUUCUGAAUGGUUCAGAUCCAUUCCACACACCCUACACAGAGGCUCAUGACCCUGACCAUACAGACGUGUGGUCACUAUGAGAUGGAGCAGAUCCCUGUCAGACAUGCAACCACACACAAAACAAAUGAACUUUAAAUAGCUAAAAUUAAUUCUCACUUAGUUAACAACAACAAUACGAAAGGGGAAAAGACCUAAGUGCAGGGUUCACACUUUUGACCAAUACAUUUCCUGUACGUUCCCAGUCACUCUUGAUUACAUAGAUAAGAUUAUUAAAAUAAUUUAUCAAAAUAGUGUGCUCUAAAUGGACAUUUUCAGCCAAAUAAAUAUUUUAGAAGAGAGAAUUUCCAUUAUUUAAGACAUGAUUUCCAUGACAAUGGGAUCCCUGUACAUGUAAAGUUUUUUUUUUUAUUUUUUUUAUUCAAAAUAAAUAGGCCUACUGGUCAUAAACCAGAUAACUAAUGCUUUUACAAUAAAAAAAAAAACAUAGCUACAUUAUAAUAAAUAUAAAGCUCGUCCAUUUCUGACAAUAUUUUAGCAAGUUACACAAGGCAGGGUUUUUAAACUAAUGGUAGUACAGAGGGUUUAACUGAAUCAUUCUUCUCAGGGAUUACAAGUCACCACGUGGUGUAAAAGUCUACUUUGUCAUCACUUUCAUUUCCCUUGUCAAUCAACAAAAGUAAUUGCGUCACACUUUUGUGAGCUACCGUAACAAUAAGAGACGUACUACAGCUACGUUGAACAAAAGUACACAAUGACAAUUUCCAUCACCUUUAUGGAAAGGGAUAAGAUGUCACGGAGCUCGAGCACUGCCGAUACUGUGCGUGGAAACUGCCCCCGUGGUGCGUCAUCAUAACCUAUACCCUCCCAAUGUUUGUUUCAUUCCUGUUAACCUGUUGCUGAUGAACUGAAAUAAAUAUCACUAAACUAAAAAGCGUAACAAAGUCUUUUCCAUGUAGCAAUACCGGUCAAAAUAUGGUUCUGUGGAAAAAAAAAAAAGUUCAAUAUGAGGGCACGUGACAAGCCUACUUCACGCGGCAGACAAAAUUGGCUGCACGAGCUAACCCUUUCACGCGCCAGCGGGAAAUUAUUUCUCGGCCCUGGCUUGGUUUGAGAAGAAACUAAAGUAAGGACUUGGACAAUGAGAGAUGUAACAACAGUAUCACAAACUCUGACAAAAGAAACUUCCCCUCGAGUACAGUGAUGUGUGAGUGUUGGUGGUAUCCGGUGUGGCUGGACGGGUGUUAGCCAGUUUCAUCCCAAACCUCCACCCAACAUAGCUGCUGCCCAGAGAUUAACUCUACCACAUAGACGAUUAAACCAGAGGGGCAGCCUGAAACGAUUACAGAUAACAUUGAUGAAGUCCCAUCGUUUGAAGUGCUGCCUUUUCCUGGGUCUCAUAUGCUUGUGCAAAUGUUUCUUCUUCCUCCUUUGGCCAAGACUGUAAGGCUUAAACUUAUGUGGUAAGGAACUUGAAAUAAACUCAUAAGGAAACAUGAACGCUUUGAAGAUGGUGGUGCUCUGGCUGAAACCAUGAGGGUCAUCAAACAAAUGUCAUUUACCCCAAUUAAGAGACCUCUUCUUGCGGGCAUUUUCCAUUGCUGUAAACUCUUAUGCAUUGACAUGAUAAUACAAUUUCUUUUCUUGUCCCUGACAUAUUUUUGCCUCAGUAUGUCAGACAGUAAAGGAGCUCUUAUCAGGAUAUUUGGGGCCGAUCAAUGGAAGCAGUAUUGGCCGAUACUGAUCAUCACCGAUCACUUCUAUUUAUCAUGUACUAUUAUUUUAGUUAUUUUAACAACAAUGUAUAUUAAGUAUUAAAAUUUAAA